rnacentral:rRNA from 1 species
GACGAACGCUGGCGGCGUGCUUAACACAUGCAAGUCGAACGGAAAGGCCCUGCUUUUGUGGGGUGCUCGAGUGGCGAACGGGUGAGUAACACGUGAGUAACCUGCCCUUGACUUUGGGAUAACUUCAGGAAACUGGGGCUAAUACCGGAUAGGAGCUCCUGCUGCAUGGUGGGGGUUGGAAAGUUUCGGCGGUUGGGGAUGGACUCGCGGCUUAUCAGCUUGUUGGUGGGGUAGUGGCUUACCAAGGCUUUGACGGGUAGCCGGCCUGAGAGGGUGACCGGCCACAUUGGGACUGAGAUACGGCCCAGACUCCUACGGGAGGCAGCAGUGGGGAAUAUUGCACAAUGGGCGGAAGCCUGAUGCAGCAACGCCGCGUGCGGGAUGACGGCCUUCGGGUUGUAAACCGCUGUCGCCUGUGACGAAGCGUGAGUGACGGUAAUGGGUAAAGAAGCACCGGCUGACUACGUG